CCUACGGGAGGCUGCAGUGAGGAAUAUUGGUCAAUGGGCGUAAGCCUGAACCAGCCAAGUCGCGUGAGGGAUGAAGGUUCUAUGGAUCGUAAACCUCUUUUAUAAGGGAAUAAAGUGUGGGACGUGUCCUAUUUUGUAUGUACCUUAUGAAUAAGGAUCGGCUAACUCCGUGCCAGCAGCCGCGGUAAUACGGAGGAUCCGAGCGUUAUCCGGAUUUAUUGGGUUUAAAGGGUGCGUAGGCGGCCUUUUAAGUCAGCGGUGAAAGUCGGUGGCUCAACCAUAGAAUGGCCGUUGAAACUGGGGGGCUUGAGUAGGUUUGAGGCAGGCGGAAUGCGUGGUGUAGCGGUGAAAUGCUGAGAUAUCACGCAGAACCCCGAUUGCGAAGGCAGCCUGCCGAGCCAUGACUGACGCUGAUGCACGAAAGCGUGGGGAUCAAACAGGAUUAGAUACCCCAGUAGUC
rnacentral:rRNA from 1 species